UCAGUUCCAGAUAGCUGUGACUAAAUGUUUCGUGCCUUUUGUAGAUACUCUGUGAUCUGUAAAUUGUAAUGUGUAAAUGAUAAACUGAGGCAUAAUAUUCCUGAAACUGAAGUUACUUUGCUUAAGAAAUUUCAGGUUGUUCAUAAUAUUUUACAAAAAGACAUUUCCUUAAAUGUGAACAUUUUCACAAUGUACCAUUCUGCACAAAAACAAAGGAAACAUUUGGAGUUGUGGUUAUUUAUAGGUUAUUAUGCUGCGAUUUUACACUGGAGAUCAAACUGGGCUGAAUGUGGAACCUGAACUAAAAUAAGUUUGACACCCCUGGCCUACAGGGUAAGAUAUCAAAUAAGGUUUAAUAAUAAGAAAUAUAGGUAAAAUACAUUUGUUUCUCAGAGAACUGUGUCAUUUACAACUAGCUUUGUUCAAAUUUGUCGCCCAGUCAGACUACAUAAAUGGAUCUGUAACACAGCCAGGUUAUCAGUCUUGUUGGUUCUUUCCAGCAAAGCAGCUAAGUCCUGUUCUAACUUGCUUCCUUCUCCUUCCCUCCCCCACCGCUGUGGCAAACACACCUACUGUAUUUCAACAGGAUAGAUUUCAGGUGAGCAUGCCUGCUCCUAGCUUCAGUGUUGUUCUUUAAUUAGCCUGUUUAUUUUAAGGGCCGUUGUGUCAAAGGUGCUGCAAGGUGAAAUGACAUUUUCCCAGCGCUGUCACGUCGUUCAGUUUCAUGAGUCAGUGUGAGUCAAAUUCCAAUUAGUUCACCUUCUGAAACGUAAAGUUGCCACAUCGUUGUCAGACUUACUUAGUGGGAGCAGGAGUGUGUAAAUGACUCAGCCCAUUUAAAGAUAAGCCAGAGGGAGGAGGUGAUGUUAUGUGUUUAUAGAGGGGGGGGGAAACAGUAGGCAGGUAUUCACAGGUCUCUGCUUUCUUCCUCUUCCCUCCUUCCUUUUGUUACAGAUUCCCCCACUGAAAGAAGAACUUUCUCACAGGACCUUUAGCAUACACACCGACACCUGGACGUUUCGACUCCACGGCGUACAGUUUUAGGACACCGGGGUUGAAUCCUUUGCUUCUUGUUUUGUUCCUUCCUGCCCUCCACUCCCUCUUCUACAAUGGACACCCCUCUUCCUGAUCUCAAACCACGAGGCAUCGACCUCAGCCUGCCCACCUGUGAGGAGACUCUGUGCAACAGCCACGGUGACUGCGUUCCUCCUCCGGGUGGCGGCACCGGUCAGGUGUGCGACUGUCAUCUGGGCUACCGGGGCGAAUUCUGCGACGACACCGUCAACGGGGCGCUGAGUCUGCCGCUGACCCUGAGCGUCAUCGCCGUCAUCAUCGGGCUGCUGAUCCUGGCGUUCAUCGUCGCAAAGAUGAGGCAGAGACAGAAGAAAAAUCGAAGGAGACAUCUGGCAGCUAAACAUGGCUACAACAUCGCUGUCUGAUGGACAUAAAUCUCAACUAUAUCUGAGGUCAACCAUGAUAUCGGGAACAAUGAUGCCACUGAGCUUCCGUCGGCGUUGCUCUGCAGUGUUUUACAGCAAAGUUUAAGUGUGAAUCUUGGACAGCAGAUCUCCUUCUCUACCUUGUGACUGCUACUGUGUGACUUCCUGUUUGCUGCAGCGUCUCAGAGACUCAAAUACUGACCUGACGAACCGACGCGACUCGAACGACGGGUCCGUUUGUUCUGCUGCUCUCAACUCUCCUGCUUUUAGCUCUAAAGGUUUAAACACUGCUGGAAGAGACAGACGGUUUAACAGUGACACAGAUUCACUGUUUUUAUACAUCAUCCAAUGAUAAAAAGAUACAGCAAUAAAUUAUAUCCUCAGGCACAUAAUUUACAUGCAAGUGGAUGUCACUGCGACUUCAUAAAGCUGGAUUUUUGGUUUUGAGUUUGAGAGCCUUUAAGCAGGCGUCAAUAUAAUGUUUGUGCUAGUAACAACACACAGCAUGAAUUUAGGAAAACAUCUGUAGUUUUUCCUCUAUUUGGUCAUUUGUACAGAUGUUGUCCGCUCACUGACUGAACUCUUCUCUGCAACAGACUUCUAUAGACUACAUGACCGUGCUUUUAGCAGUUAGAAUUUGCAGAAACAAGCAUCAGGAUCUGUCCAUUCUUCACUCAGAAUCUGUUGCUUUGAUCACAUUUCUGAUCCUUGAUGAUUUCCUCCAACACUGGCUGUGUUUUAGUCAGAUAGUCUCCACUGAGAUGGAGCAGCAGCUUCCCUUCUUCCAUGCUUUCAUUCUUAAUAAUAGUACGUUUAUACGGAUGUUGAAAACUGAAAGUUGACGGACCUUAGAUGUUUCCAUGGCAACUGAUUUUUAUAAGUAAGCCAAAAUAUUUUAACUCAUUUAAUUCUGUCCUCUUUUUUAAAAAUAAAUGACGACUGACUUAUAUGCACUUUACUAGAAGGAUGUGGUUUUAUUCCACAUGAGAAUUACAGUUAUGUAGUUGCUGCUUUUUCAUAUUAUUGCUUUUAGGAACUUUUGAGACUGGGUUUGUUUAAGAAGCAUUUCUUCUUCUCUUUCAAACUGAUCCUGUCCUUAAUUUUCGUAACAGAAAAGCACCUUUGCAUCACUGCCGUCCUUUAGCUCUGAUGAAAACAGACUGCAUGCAUGUACGCUGCCGUUCUAAAGUUUGGGCUCACUCAGGCAAACUCCUAGCCUAGCCACGCUAGAGCCAUGUUUCUGACGGCACAAGGGUCUAGUGCCGCUCGACAGGUAGGGAGGCGGGCUAAAAGGUUGUCUAUCAAAUCCCUCUGCAGCAAUUGGGUAGGUAUACAACCAAUCAGUGCAACGAAUAGGCUGACGGAGUUCCGAGAGCACCGGCAGAUUGUGGCUGAGUCCCAUUAGCUUCACAACCAGCGGAGCCAACUGGUAUAUUAAGGAUUUGCCAUAUCCCGUCGGCAUAAGUCCAAAUACGUCUUUCUUCUCAAUGAAACACUUCUCUGCCGUCCUUUGUUUAUCUUUCAAGUUGAAUUUUAGCUUCAAAUCUUUAAGGGCUGUGGCCAAAGCCGAGUCGAAAGAUAACUGUUUAUUGUGCGCCGGUUGUUUCUGUCAGAAUCGUCGCGCCUCUGUCGUCACUUAGUUACGCCCGCCUUCUGACUCUACACUUCAUGGUGAUUGGUCCGGCCAGUUUUAGGAGAAUCCAGCCUCGAGCCUUAUGGAGGGUAACUAGACCCACCCUGGCAGAGAAUUAAAUUCGUUGCAGUGGGUUGUCUAGCGCGACUAGGCUAGCAAACUCCCGCUUUUAUCCAUGUGCUAACAUAACUACACAAAGGUUUUCUAAUCAUCAAUGAGCCUUUUAGCUAACACGAUGUAGCAUUAGAACACAGCAGUGAUGGUUGCUGGAAAUGUUCCUCUGUACCCCUAUGGAGAUAUUCCACUAAACAUUACCGGCUAGAAUAAUCAUUUACCACAUUAACAAUGUCUACACUGGAUUUAUCAUUCAUUUAAUGUGCUCUUCAGUGAAAAAAACUGCUUCUCUUUUUAAGUGACCCUGAACUUUUGAGCAGUAGUCUAAAAAGGAACAAUUCUGUACAGUUUUCAGACAUUCUGUAUCAAAGCUGUAGGAGCAGAUUUCAGCAGAGAGGAAAUCACCGCUAGCAUGCCUGCUGAUCACCACAAACAUCGACACAUUGUGCUUUUGUGUUGCUGUUUUACAUCAUGUAACUACGCUACUUUAACACGCCGAUGUGUGCUUUUAGAAGCUGAACGACAGAAAAUGACGAGCGUGUCGGACAAAUGAGCGACUGUGUGCGUGUGAACGGCGAUAAUUUGUCGCUCCGCUCAGAAGUGAUGAGUCAGGAUGAUAAAACACCGAAGACGAAACUCCAUUAAUGAGUUCUGCGAAGGCAUUCCUUAAGAAGCUGUCAGUAGACCAACAAAGCGUGGACUUGGCUGUUAAUUUUCAGCUCGGCUACACUCGAUAUUCAGAGUUUGGUGCUGAAAAAUAAACUGCAGAUAGAAUAAAGUAACAAGACAAAGAAAGUAAAGGAAUUUUUCUGCAGAGAAUGAACUUCUGUCCAUCUGCCAACCGAAACCAAAACAUGUUUUCCUGCUUUGCUAAGUCUGAAAAUUCCUCUCCUGUUAGCAAUGUUUGAGUGUAGGCCAGACUGUUUUAAUUGUAUUAACAUGAUUAUUCUCCAUAAUCAGAAUGUUUCCUUUGUUUCUGUAUUUUCUAACAAUGCCUGUUUUUUGUCUAUUUCACUGGCAUGUAUACAUUUUAGUCAUAUAGACAGAAGAUAGUAAUGCCUCACUGUACUUUGUGCACACAGUUUCCACCGAGCAACUGUAUUUAAUUCACUUUUUUAUAUAUACUAUUAUCACUUUUCUGUAGUUUUCCAAAUAAAAUGUACAAAAACCCAAAUCAGCAAUUAAUUUCUAUGCAUCUUUUGUAUAAAU